UACGUAGGGGGCUAGCGUUGUCCGGAAUCAUUGGGCGUAAAGAGCGUGUAGGCGGUCCGGUAAGUCCGCUGUGAAAGUCGGGGGCUCAACCCUCGAAUGCCGGUGGAUACUGUCGGGCUAGAGUGCGGAAGAGGCGAGUGGAAUUCCUGGUGUAGCGGUGAAAUGCGCAGAUAUCAGGAGGAACACCGGUGGCGAAGGCGGGUCUCUGGGCCGAUACUGACGCUGAGGAGCGAAAGCGUGGGGAGCGAACGGG
rnacentral:rRNA from 1 species